GCGCAGUGCGGAGGGCCACUUCGGUGUCACAAAUGGCAGAAGCUCGCUGCAGCUUUUAGCGCGGCGGGGCUGUGCGCUGCAUUCAAUUCCGAGUACACCGGGCGAAAGUCCCCGGGCGAUGGGGCAGAGAGUGCCAGCCCGAAAGGGCAGGACCCCUGCGUGCCUUCUUAGGCCGCAGGGCAGCUCGCCAUAGCAACAGUUAUGUGGCCAGUGGAGAUGCAAUCCACCAACACAACGGGGCUUACUCCCGCACUGACG
rnacentral:RNase_MRP_RNA from 1 species